rnacentral:lncRNA from 1 species
CGUGUAUGUAAACACUUACCGUCAUUAGCAUAUAUAGUAUUUAUAUAUAUGAUAUGUAUAUAUUGAUAUAUUUAUGCGUGUAUGUAUACACUUGUUAUCUGUUACAUAUACCCUGAUAUGCACACACAUAUGCAUCCUUAUGCAUUGAUAAGUUCAUACAUAUAUUACGUAUACACUGAUAUAUAUGAGCAUAUAGACACUUAUUAUCAGUUUAUCAGUUAUUAACUUAUAUGUACACUGAUAUAUAUAUACGCACACUCAAACGCAUAUGUAUAAUGUAUAAGAUAGUCUAUCAUAAUUGGGUAUUUAGCGUACCCUAUUCAUCAAGAGAAGAA